CGCCACAAGCUUAAUAUUUGAGGUUCUGCCUGCCCAGUGACUUAGUUAAACGGCUGCAGUAUUACUGACUGUGCAAAGGUAGCAUAAUCAUUCGCCUGUUAAUUGCAGGCUAGUAUCAACGGCUAGACGAUAGGAAAGCUGUCUCCUUUUACUAUUUCUUAAUUUAUUUUUAAGGUGAAGAGACCUUAAUUUAUUAGCGGGACGAGAAGACCCUAUAGAGCUUUACUUUGUUUAAGUUUUUAUUCUUAAACUAAAGUUUGGUUGGGGCAACCGGCUUUUUAGUUAAGACAAAGUCUAAUCUUAAUAAGGUUGAUUUAAGACCCAAAAUAGUUUUGAUAAAAGAAAAAGUUACCUUAGGGAUAACAGCGUAAUUUUCUUUGAGAGUACUUAUUGACAAGAAAGCUUGCGACCUCGAUGUUGGAUCAGAAAAACUGGGAUGUGCAGCAGCCUCCUAAAGUUGGUUUGUUCAACCAUUAAAAUUCUACG
rnacentral:rRNA from 20 species